AAUCCUUGAGAUCCAGUCAGACAAAGAUCUUCCCUAUUUUUUGACUAAGAUGACUAAGGAUCAGAUGGUAGCAGAUAUUGCCUAACGGUCAAAAGCAAACUUCUGGGUAUGUAUAGUUUUGUGGUUCGCUGGCUGUUGGUAUCCUUGGGUAUAUUUUCAGGAGGUGGAUCGCAACAACCAAUCCAAGCUCUCAGAUGAUGCCAAUGCUGGACACAAGCAACUCUGUUUGAUCUGCUUCAUGAAGACGAGGACUAAUGAUUUUGGAUGUGGGCAUUACGUUUCUUGCGAUCAAUGUGCCAUAGUAGCAAUUGAAAAUGAACAUGAGUGUCUCACUUGUCACAUGCCAAGCCAUAGUUUGUUGUAGUUAAGUCUCCCCUAAGGUUAGAGUUUGGUAAGAUUCAAUGCGCAUAUAUUAGUCAUCCGAAAAUUUUUGUCAACAUGCUUCAUUGAUAGCUCUUGAAAGCUCUAGGAAGUGAUAUUGUUAUUAAUCUUUGUCAACAAAUAAUUUGGAGCAGCUGAUUGCUACAAACAUGCCGUUGUUGGAUGGUCAAUCUUUUCGUUCUAAAUACGCACCCGAAGUUGCAGAAUAAAUAAC